UUUCCUUAAAUCAAUCCACUACUUAACUACAUUUACGUGAAGAAGGAAACUUUAUGUCACUAUAGUAAAUGGGAGACUGAUUUACUUGCUGCAGGCAGAAAGAAACUGUGAAAAUAAAUACUGGCAGAAAUUCAGACCACUUCUCAGAGACUUCCAGGAACUUGGAGAAACACAGCUUCCCCGAGGGAGAGCCAAGAGCCCAGUGACAUUUCCUGUCAAAUGUCCAAGGCGAACUCCAGGUCCAGAGUGUCAGCCCUGGUAUGUGGCACUGCGAUCAGCCGUUGGAAGGAUUAUCUGCCACUUGUUUCCAGUGCUUUCCCAGUAGCCUUCUGAAAGCCAGCGGGGGUUCCGCCUGGUCAGAAAAGACCUCUUUCA
rnacentral:lncRNA from 1 species